AGUCACUGACAUUAGAUACCCCGUAGUCCAGGGUGUAAACGCUGCAGACUUGGUGUUGGAAGCCCUUUGGGGGCAUUCAGUGCCGGAGAGAAGUUGUUAAGUCUGCUACUUGGGAGUACGUCCGCAAGGAUGAAACUUAAAGGAAUUGGCGGGGGAGCACCGCAACGGGAGGAGCGUGCGGUUUAAUUGGAUUCAACACCGUAAACUCACCAGGGAAGACUGUUACAUGAAGGCCGAGAUGAAGACUCUGCUAGAUUUUCAG
rnacentral:rRNA from 1 species